rnacentral:rRNA from 1 species
UGCUCGAGUGGCGAACGGGUGAGUAACACGUGAGUAACCUGCCCUUGACUUUGGGAUAACUUCAGGAAACUGGGGCUAAUACCGGAUAGGAGCUCCUGCUGCAUGGUGGGGGUUGGAAAGUUUCGGCGGUUGGGGAUUGACUCGCGGCUUAUCAGCUUGUUGGUGGGGUAGUGGCUUACCAAGGCUUUGACGGGUAGCCGGCCUGAGAGGGUGACCGGCCACAUUGGGACUGAGAUACGGCCCAG